UUUCCGGUUGAUCCCGCCGGACCUGACUGCUAUCGGAUUGAUACUAAGCCAUGCGAGUCUUUGCAGUAAUGCAAGGCAUACGGCUCAGUAACACGUAGUCAACUUACCCUAUGGACGAGGAUAAUCUCGGGAAACUGAGCAUAAUACUCGAUAGAUCAUAAUGCCUGAAUGGUUUAUGGUUGAAAUGAUUCGUCGCCAUAGGAUGGGACUGCGGCCUAUCAGCUUGUUGGUGAGGUAAUGGCCCACCAAGGCGAUUACAGGUACGGGCUCUGAGAGGAGAAGCCCGGAGAUGGGUACUGAGACAAGGACCCAGGCCCUAUGGGGCGCAGCAGGCGAGAAAACUUUGCAAUGUGCGAAAGCACGACAAGGUUAAUCCGAGUGAUUUCUGCUAAAGAAAUCUUUUGCAAGUCAUAAAACCACUAGUGAAUAAGGGGUGGGCAAGUUCUGGUGUCAGCCGCCGCGGUAAAACCAGCACCUCAAGUGGUCAGGAGGAUUACUGGGCCUAAAGCAUCCGUAGCCGGCUCUGUAAGUUUUCGGUUAAGUCCAUGUGCUCAACGCAUGGGCUGCCGAAAAUACUGCAUAGCUAGGGAGUGGGAGAGGUAGACGGUACUCGGUAGGAAGGGGUAAAAUCCUUUGAUCUAUCGAUGACCACCUGUGGCGAAGGCGGUCUACCAGAACACGUUCGACGGUGA
rnacentral:rRNA from 1 species